rnacentral:rRNA from 2 species
GAUGAACGCUGGCGGCGUGCCUAAUACAUGCAAGUCGAACGAGUUCUCGUUGAUGAUCGGUGCUUGCACCGAGAUUCAACAUGGAACGAGUGGCGGACGGGUGAGUAACACGUGGGUAACCUGCCCUUAAGUGGGGGAUAACAUUUGGAAACAGAUGCUAAUACCGCAUAGAUCCAAGAACCGCAUGGUUCUUGGCUGAAAGAUGGCGUAAGCUAUCGCUUUUGGAUGGACCCGCGGCGCAUUAGCUAGUUGGUGAGGUAAUGGCUCACCAAGGCGAUGAUACGUAGCCGAACUGAGAGGUUGAUCGGCCACAUUGGGACUGAGACACGGCCCAAACUCCUACGGGAGGCAGCAGUAGGGAAUCUUCCACAAUGGACGCAAGUCUGAUGGAGCAACGCCGCGUGAGUGAAGAAGGCUUUCGGGUCGUAAAACUCUGUUGUUGGAGAAGAAUGGUCGGCAGAGUAACUGUUGUCGGCGUGACGGUAUCCAACCAGAAAGCCACGGCUAACUACGUGCCAGCAGCCGCGGUAAUACGUAGGUGGCAAGCGUUAUCCGGAUUUAUUGGGCGUAAAGCGAGCGCAGGCGGUUUUUUAAGUCUGAUGUGAAAGCCCUCGGCUUAACCGAGGAAGCGCAUCGGAAACUGGGAAACUUGAGUGCAGAAGAGGACAGUGGAACUCCAUGUGUAGCGGUGAAAUGCGUAGAUAUAUGGAAGAACACCAGUGGCGAAGGCGGCUGUCUGGUCUGUAACUGACGCUGAGGCUCGAAAGCAUGGGUAGCGAACAGGAUUAGAUACCCUGGUAGUCCAUGCCGUAAACGAUGAAUGCUAGGUGUUGGAGGGUUUCCGCCCUUCAGUGCCGCAGCUAACGCAUUAAGCAUUCCGCCUGGGGAGUACGACCGCAAGGUUGAAACUCAAAGGAAUUGACGGGGGCCCGCACAAGCGGUGGAGCAUGUGGUUUAAUUCGAAGCAACGCGAAGAACCUUACCAGGUCUUGACAUCUUUUGAUCACCUGAGAGAUCAGGUUUCCCCUUCGGGGGCAAAAUGACAGGUGGUGCAUGGUUGUCGUCAGCUCGUGUCGUGAGAUGUUGGGUUAAGUCCCGCAACGAGCGCAACCCUUAUGACUAGUUGCCAGCAUUUAGUUGGGCACUCUAGUAAGACUGCCGGUGACAAACCGGAGGAAGGUGGGGAUGACGUCAAAUCAUCAUGCCCCUUAUGACCUGGGCUACACACGUGCUACAAUGGAUGGUACAACGAGUCGCGAGACCGCGAGGUCAAGCUAAUCUCUUAAAGCCAUUCUCAGUUCGGACUGUAGGCUGCAACUCGCCUACACGAAGUCGGAAUCGCUAGUAAUCGCGGAUCAGCACGCCGCGGUGAAUACGUUCCCGGGCCUUGUACACACCGCCCGUCACACCAUGAGAGUUUGUAACACCCGAAGCCGGUGGCGUAACCCUUUUAGGGAGCGAGCCGUCUAAGGUGGGACAAAUGAUUAGGGUG